GGAGCGGUGUCCGAGUGGCUGAAGGGACCGCACUGGAAAUGCGGUGUGCGGGUAACCGCACCGAGGGUUCGAAUCCCUCCCGCUCCG
rnacentral:tRNA from 1 species